GGGUUGCUGAGGGGUUUGCAGGCUGGUAACUUCUGAGCCACCUGAAUAGCUACAGUUCAUUACAAAAGGAACAAAAGGAUGUCAGCUCUGUAGGUAUUUAAGAUAAGUGUGGGACAAUACGGAGCAUCAGAGAAUGGAGACUUAAUCCCAAACGAAUGCUAUUAAUAUCAUAAAAAUUUAGCAACUCCGAGAAUUCUCUACAUCCUCUGCCUGGAAAUGGAGACGACUAAAAUGAGAUGCAAAUCAGUGCCUUUAUCUAAUGAAUAAUGCAAAUGAGCGCUCUUCUUAUGGUGCAGCAGUCUGCAGGAUUCCUCUCUGCCUCACCUCACAUUUCUUGUGGAUUUAAGCACCAUGUGUCAGAAGAAAUUAGAGGAAGGAAUUGCCAAGAAAUGACAAAGCCUUGGAGCCUCAAGUCAGUGCAGACAGCAAGGAACUCCUUUCUUAAGAGGCUUGAGGAACAAAAGACCUUAGAAGUUUCUGUGGUCGCAGUUUUAGAAGACACAGCCUGUGGCUGUUGCCAACCUGUGCCGGCCAAGGACAGGAGCUAAAGAGCUGGCUUCGGUGGCAGAAAAAGCAGAUGCUGCAAGAGGAGGAUUUUAGACAGCCACUAAAGCACUUCUGCAUCCUUUUUGUCUGGAUGAUAAAAUCUAAGCAAACCCUUCAGACAGACAUCAACAACCGUAAGUUAUCAUAUUCUGUUGCCCACUUCGCUUAUUCCAAAGUUUAGAUUAUGCUCUGCAUCGUGAACCUUCAUUUACUCAAAAGCCGCAUAAAGUGGCUGUGACUUGAGUGUGUUGUUUUGGUAAUACACAUUUUCAGAAGUUAUCAGUUAUCUUCA